rnacentral:lncRNA from 1 species
GUCGACCCCAGGUAGAAAAAAAAAAAAGAGGAAAAACCCUCACAAACUAAAAUCAGUGAAAUAUGAAGGAAGAUCAAGGCUAAUCUUGUGCAUGAACCCUAAUUUGUGACCAUUUAAGCUUGCUUAACAAGUGGAAGGAUGAGUGCGAAGGAAGAAGGCUCAAGCAAUAAGAAGCCUCAAAACUCACAAGAUCGAGGUAAAGCCAUCCUUUAAAUGGCACGCUACGCUCGGAACGAACACACUCCAUAUUGCCCGCAAUGCGCUUCCGGAAUUUAGUGUUGUAAACAGGUCAAAACACUUUUCUUGUCUUUUAGUCAGGCGUUGAUAAACUUUACCCAAUAACAUGUGUUUAAAACUUUUGUAAAUGUUGGUGGGUUUGUAGUUGUUUAAAUUGGUUGAUU